GAUGAACGCUGGCGGCGUGCUUAACACAUGCAAGUCGAACGAGGCACUUUAACGGAACUCUUCGGAGGGAAGUUAUUGUGACUGAGUGGCGGACGGGUGAGUAACGCGUGGGUAACCUGCCUUGCACAGGGGGAUAACAGUUAGAAAUGACUGCUAAUACCGCAUAACCCGCUAGUACCGCAUGGUACAGACGGAAAGAUUUAUCGGUGUAAGAUGGACCCGCGUCUGAUUAGCUGGUUGGUGAGGUAACGGCUCACCAAGGCGACGAUCAGUAGCCGGCUUGAGAGAGUGGACGGCCACAUUGGGACUGAGACACGGCCCAG
rnacentral:rRNA from 1 species